UACGUAGGUGGCAAGCGUUGUCCGGAUUUACUGGGCGUAAAGAGCGCGCAGGCGGUCGUCCAAGUCGCGUGUGAAAGCCCCCGGCUCAACUGGGGAGGGUCACGCGAUACUGGUCGACUCGAAGGCAGGAGAGGGUAGUGGAAUUCCCGGUGUAGUGGUGAAAUGCGUAGAGAUCGGCAGGAACACCCAGGGGGAAACCAGCCGACUGGGCAUCGACUGACGCUGAGGUGCGAGAGCGUGGGGAGCGAACCGG
rnacentral:rRNA from 1 species